rnacentral:rRNA from 1 species
ACGUAGGUGGCAAGCGUUAUCCGGAAUUAUUGGGCGUAAAGAGGGAGCAGGCGGCAAUAGAGGUCUGUGGUAAAAGACUGAAGCUUAACUUCAGUAAGCCAUGGAAACCAAAUAGCUAGAGUUUUGAAGAGGAUUGUGGAAUUCCAUGAGUAGCGGUGAAAUGCGUAGAUAUAUGGAGGAACACCAGUGGCGAAGGCGACAAUCUGGGCAAAAACUGACGCUGAGUCCCGAAAGCGUGGGGAGCAAAUAG